rnacentral:rRNA from 1 species
AAGUGCGAAUGCUGACAUAAGUAACGAUAAAACGGGUGAAAAACCCGUUCGCCGGAAGACCAAGGGUUCCUGUCCAACGUUAAUCGGGGCAGGGUGAGUCGGCUCCUAAGGCGAGGCUGAAAAGCGUAGUCGAUGGGAAACAGGUUAAUAUUCCUGUACUUGGUAAAGCUGCGAUGUGGGGACGGAGUAGGUUAGGUUAUCGCACUGUUGGAUAUGUGCGUUUAAGUUGGUAGGUGGGAAGUUUAGGCAAAUCCGGGCUUCCUUAACACAGAGAGAUGAUGACGAGGCUCUACGGAGCUGAAGUAACUGAUACCACACUUCCAGGAAAAGCCACUAAGCGAAAGGCUUUACUAAACCGUACUGAAAACCGACACAGGUGGUCAGGUAGAGAAUACUCAGGCGCUUGAGAGAACUCGGGUGAAGGAACUAGGCAAAAUAGCACCGUAACUUCGGGAGAAGGUGCGCCGGCGUAGAUUGUAAGGGCUAGCCCCUGAAGGUUGAACCGGUCGAAGAUACCAGCUGGCUGCAACUGUUUAUUAAAAACACAGCACUCUGCAAACACGAAAGUGGACGUAUAGGGUGUGAUGCCUGCCCGGUGCUGGAAGGUUAAUUGAUGGUGUAAUCGAAAGAGAAGCACCUGAUCGAAGCCCCAGUAAACGGCGGCCGUAACUAUAACGGUCCUAAGGUAGCGAAAUUCCUUGUCGGGUAAGUUCCGACCUGCACGAAUGGCAUAAUGAUGGCCAGGCUGUCUCCACCCGAGACUCAGUGAAAUUGAAAUCGCCGUGAAGAUGCGGUGUACCCGCGGCUAGACGGAAAGACCCCGUGAACCUUUACUAUAGCUUGACACUGAACAUUGAAUUUUGAUGUGUAGGAUAGGUGGGAGCCUUUGAAGCAGUGACGCCAGUCAUUGUGGAGGCGACCUUGAAAUACCACCCUUUAACGUUUGAUGUUCUAACGAAGAUGACGAAACGUGGUCUCGGACAGUGUCUGGUGGGUAGUUUGACUGGGGCGGUCUCCUCCCAAAGCGUAACGGAGGAGCACGAAGGUUUGCUAAUCACGGUCGGACAUCGUGAGGUUAGUGCAAUGGUAUAAGCAAGCUUAACUGCGAGACAGACAAGUCGAGCAGGUACGAAAGUAGGUCAUAGUGAUCCGGUGGUUCUGAAUGGAAGGGCCAUCGCUCAACGGAUAAAAGGUACUCCGGGGAUAACAGGCUGAUACCGCCCAAGAGUUCAUAUCGACGGCGGUGUUUGGCACCUCGAUGUCGGCUCAUCACAUCCUGGGGCUGAAGUAGGUCCCAAGGGUAUGGCUGUUCGCCAUUUAAAGUGGUACGCGAGCUGGGUUUAGAACGUCGUGAGACAGUUCGGUCCCUAUCUGCCGUGGGCGUAGGAGAAUUGGUUGGGGCUGCUCCUAGUACGAGAGGACCGGAGUGGACGCACCACUGGUGUUCCGGUUGUGUCGCCAGACGCAUUGCCGGGUAGCUAAGUGCGGAAGAGAUAAGUGCUGAAAGCAUCUAAGCACGAAACUUGCCAAGAGAUGAGUUCUCCCAAUCUAAGAGAUUGUAAGGGUUGUUGUAGACUACGACGUAGAUAGGUCUGGUGUGUAAGUGUAGUGAU